CUUACAACGGCACCUUACUGUCUUUUACCGUAAUGUUUCAUGUUGUUCUCUUGUUUGGCGACAUUUUGUCCUUGGAACAGUGAACCUGCAAGGACACAUAAAUGUAGAACUAAAAUAACAUUAAUUCUGCAUCUGUUUUGGGGAACUGUCUGCAUUAUUUCCUGGACCUGCUUCCUCACGCGGCCCGGGGUGAGCUCUCCCUACUCCGGAGAACCGGAACAAACAGAUCGUCAGCGGAGAUAUCAAGCACUGGGACAGAAGAGGAAUCUGCCUCUAGCCUGAAUCUCAUUUGGAGAUGUAGGGGUGAAACCUGUCAAGGUGUCGCAGAAUGCAGUCAGGAUCAGAUUAAGGCCUGCAUUCAUUCCAAGCUUUAAGAAAGCGGUCCCGUCAAAGAAAGCUCUGCCCUUGCUACAAUCAAGACGGACGGUCAUCUUCCCCCCCAGUUAUCCGUGUAAACAGGAUCCAUUGUUCUCCCCCUGCACCUAUGGGUUCUGAUUCUGAGAUACAGCGGGAACAGGAGCUGCUGUCGCAGUGACAUGCGGGGGACACAAAGGCGCAGAAACAGGUACAGUUCGCCCUCAUGGAACUCCUGGAAAUCCCCCAGAAGAAUAUUAUUGGAAAGCUUUUUGUCGAACCAUGGAUUCACACGGUCAACCUGCAGUGUGAUUCAGGCCAAGUUAAUCACCGACAGUCUCCGCUAACCUGCUCUUUGUGUCUGUGCCUGCUUUUGUAUGCAUGAAACCUUAUAUCACUCCACCCUGCCACCUGCACGCAUGCAAUCAGACCACCUCACCAAACAAAAAUGGGAUUCUCCUCACUACCUCAUCAUGGUUUGGGUGAAGCGUAUUAUUUUUUUGAGAUGUGU